rnacentral:lncRNA from 1 species
AAUUCGGUUUAAUUUCCUCUGCACUGAAAGGGAAGGAAGAUUAAUGAAAUAUCCCCAAAUCCAUCCUGUUUCAUUUCUAUUAAAUCAGCAGUGAAAUUCAACCACCCGGCCCAGCCAGGCUGAGGCGAAGGAGGGGGACUUGAGGAUAAUGUUUUGGGCAUUUAGCUAAAGAGACCUGAUCUAGUACAUUAUGGCGGCGGGUGAAGUGAUGCUAUAUUGAAAAUUCAAUUGAUGCUGAAGUCAGCAUCUCACGUUGCAUUUCUAUUUCGACCAGAAAUAAAUGAGUUCAAGUUAUUCAAUAUAGCGUGAGUUACUAACACAGCUCUGAGUAAAAGAGACAUAUUCCAUAUUCCUACUGUAUUGUCUGUUCUUCCUACUGUAUUGUCUGUUCUUCCUACUGUAUUGUCUAACUGUUCUUCCUACGGUAUUGUCUGUUCUUCCUACUGUAUUGUCUAACUGUUCUUCCUACUGUAUUGUCUGUUCUUCCUACUGUAUUGUCUAACUGUUCUUCCUACUGUAUUGUCUAACGUUUUUUCCUACUGUGUUGUCAACUUUUUUCCUACUGUGUUGUCUAACUGUUCUUCCUACUGUAUUGGUCUACUGUUUCUCCCUAACGUAUUGUCUACUGUUUCUCCUACUGUAUUGUCUGUUCUUCCUACUGUAUUGUCUAACUGUUUUUCCUACGGUGUUGUCUAAUGUUUUUCCUACUGUUUGUCUAACUUUCUUCCUA